rnacentral:tRNA from 1 species
GGGCCCGUGGUCUAGUCUGGUUAGGACGUCGCUCUCACACGGCGAACUGAGUGCCUCGAAGGCGCUCACGCCAGAAUCCCCGGUCCAAUUCCGGGCGGGCCCACCA